UCCUCACUACCCUAAACACAGUUGGUCUCAUCUAACCUUGGAAGCUAAGCAGGGUUGGGCCUGGUAAGUACUUGGAUGGGAAACCAUGAGUUAAUACAAGACAUUCAGGGU
rnacentral:rRNA from 1 species